UGACUCCGUGUGUGGGAGCCAGGAGAGACUCUUGGAGAAGGUGGUCAAUCGGGAGCCUCUUGCAAUGGUCCAGUUGAGUGAUGGCAACAGCAGUGGCAAUGGUGUGGGGAGGAGCCUGCUUGGGUGUCCCUCCGGCUCAGGCUGAGGAGCCUCCAGUAGCUGCCUCACCCCUCCCCCAGGCAAGGCUAGGACAGAAGGUCCUCCUAUCCCAUAAUCCCACCACAGUGUAACAUAGUUGCCUGUUUAUUUAUUCAUCCCUUUAUCCCACCGGUCCCCAGGCUGUGAAGACAUAUCCAUAUCUGUCUUAUUCAAUAUUGUAAAUAAGCAUGUAGGACAUAGUAAAUACUGCAUCAAUAUUCAUAACAUUUUUAAUUAAUCAAUCAUCUGUCCCAGUUGGCUCUGACAUUGAAGCGUUCCCACAGAUGUUGCUUCUCACAUGGGCAGCAUUCAGACUUCAGCGUCUCUCAAUGGCCUUCCUGACUCCAACCUGCAUCUCACCCUGAUUUUCUUCCUGCUCUGGGAACUAGGCUUUGGGCUUCACUCUGCUCUCUCGUGGUGUUCCGAACCAUGCACUCUGAAUGCCUUCUUUGGCUUUGUAUUUCCUGCCUGCUGAUGACCACUUACAGCAGUUCAAUCCCAUACAGGGUCCAGGGCAGGCCAAAUAGGUGGAGAACAGUCCAGAACAGUCCAUGCAUCUGACAAGUGCAUGGAUUUACCCAUCUGGAAUACAACAUUCAGCAGCUACAGAACAAAGCCAUGUGCAACUGGACAGCAAUAAAUAUCCGGAAGACCCGAUACAACCAAAAUGGCAUUGAAGGAUCUGUCAAGAUCAACAGCAAGAGAACACUGGGCCAGCAGCGCUCUGCUGGAGACAGAAACAGCCCACCAUGGAUGAACACAGCAGGGAAGGGGCACUGCCCCGCCAUCUGGAAGGUGAUGUGGAGAAGGCAUCACAGGCCCGCACAGGUUCUUUCAUUGUUCUGGUGCGUCCUCUGGGUCAUGGACGGGGAGGAACAUCCUGGAGGGUCAAGGCCACCUGCCCAGCAGUCUAGACCAGGUGAGUGUUUUCGGUGGUGAGGUAAGGUGAGGAU